UUGUCGUUUGAAAGCAGGGGUGGUCAGCACUCUCCUUCUAAUGGCCAUGUGGCCUGCAGCACACAUAAGGUUAAGACAUUGCCACUUAGCUUCUUGCAUCUCUAAACUUUCU
rnacentral:ncRNA from 1 species